UACAGAGGUCUCAAGCGUUGUUCGGAUUCAUUGGGCGUAAAGGGUGCGUAGGUGGCAUGGUCAGUCGGAUGUGAAAUCCCGGGGCUCAACCCCGGAACUGCAUUCGAUACUGCCGCGCUAGAGUACUGGAGGGGAGAUUGGAAUUUACGGUGUAGCAGUGAAAUGCGUAGAUAUCGUAAGGAAGACCAGUGGCGAAGGCGGAUCUCUGGACAGUUACUGACACUGAGGCACGAAGGCCAGGGGAGCAAACGGG
rnacentral:rRNA from 1 species